AUAAAAAACCAAUGCCCUUCGGGGCUCUUUGGUGAUUCAUGAUAACUUAACGAAUCGCAUGGCCUUGUGCCGGCGAUGGUUCAUUCAAAUUUCUGCCCUAUCAACUUUCGAUGGUAGGAUAGUGGCCUACCAUGGUUUCAACGGGUAACGGGGAAUUAGGGUUCUAUUCCGGAGAGGGAGCCUGAGAAACGGCUACCACAUCCAAGGAAGGCAGCAGGCGCGCAAAUUACCCAAUCCCGACACGGGGAGGUAGUGACAAUAAAUACUGAUGCAGAGCUCUUUAGGGUUUUGCAAUUGGAAUGAGUACAACUUAAAUCCCUUAACGAGGAACAAUUGGAGGGCAAGUCUGGUGCCAGCAGCCGCGGUAAUUCCAGCUCCAAUAGCGUAUAUUAAAGUUGUUGCAGUUAAAAAGCUCGUAGUUGAACCUUGGGCCUGGCUGGCCGGUCCGCCUCACCGCGUGCACUGGUCCGGCCGGGCCUUUCCUUCUGGGGAGCCGCAUGCCCUUCACUGGGUGUGU
rnacentral:rRNA from 1 species